UACGUAGGGAGCAAGCGUUGUCCGGAAUCAUUGGGCGUAAAGCGCGCGUAGGUGGCUUCAUAAGUCCGUUGUGAAAGUCAAAGGCUCAACCUUUGAAAGCCGAUGGAUACUGUGGAGCUAGAGUACGGAAGAGGCGAGUGGAAUUCCUGGUGUAGCGGUGAAAUGCGUAGAUAUCUGGAGGAACACCGGUGGCGAAGGCGGCAUCCUGGACCGACACUGACGCUGAGGAGCGAAAGCCAGGGGAGCAAACGGG
rnacentral:rRNA from 1 species